UCCGUAGGUGAACCUGCGGAAGGAUCAUAGUAAUCGUCU
rnacentral:rRNA from 2 species